rnacentral:rRNA from 1 species
UAGCCUUGACAUUGAUAGAACGGACCAGAGAUGGACCGGUGCCCUUCGGGGAGCUUGAAAACAGGUGCUGCACGGCUGUCGUCAGCUCGUGUCGUGAGAUGUUGGGUUAAGUCCCGCAACGAGCGCAACCCUCGUCCUUAGUUGCCAGCAGGUUAAGCUGGGCACUCUAAGGAGACUGCCUUCGUAAGGAGGAGGAAGGUGAGGACGACGUCAAGUCAUCAUGGCCCUUAUGGCUAGGGCUACACACGUGCUACAAUGGGGCGUACAGAGAGUUGCGAUACCGCGAGGUGGAGCCAAUCUCAUAAAGCGUCUCUCAGUUCGGAUUGAAGUCUGCAACUCGACUUCAUGAAGC